GACCGCGUAGCUCAGUUGGCAGAGCAUUGGGCUAGUAUUCCAAAGGUCGUAGGUUCGAUUCCCACCGUGCAUG